GCUCUGUUGUUAGGGAAGAACAAGUGCCGUUCAAAUAGGGCGGCACCUUGACGGUACCUAACCAGAAAGCCACGGCUAACUACGUGCCAGCAGCCGCGGUAAUACGUAGGUGGCAAGCGUUGUCCGGAAUUAUUGGGCGUAAAGGGCUCGCAGGCGGUUUCUUAAGUCUGAUGUGAAAGCCCCCGGCUCAACCGGGGAGGGUCAUUGGAAACUGGGGAACUUGAGUGCAGAAGAGGAGAGUGGAAUUCCACGUGUAGCGGUGAAAUGCGUAGAGAUGUGGAGGAACACCAGUGGCGAAGGCGACUCUCUGGUCUGUAACUGACGCUGAGGAGCGAAAGCGUGGGGAGCGAACAGGAUUAGAUACCCUGGUAGUCCACGCCGUAAACGAUGAGUGCUAAGUGUUAGGGGGUUUCCGCCCCUUAGUGCUGCAGCUAACGCAUUAAGCACUC
rnacentral:rRNA from 1 species